GCCCGUCGGAGUGGGGAGCGUGAGGUUUUUUCGUUACGGAAUUUCUCGAUUCGGUCCCCGCGCUCAAGGCCCGCGAUAGAAGCUAUGCAAUAGCUUAAAAAUAGUCUUGCUGACAUAAAUCCAGUAUUUCACAAACUGUUUGACAUAAUAUUAUAAUGUAAGAAUAAUUUGUGAUGUUUUGAUUAGUUGAUCACAAUGUUUUUGGUACCUUACUGUCAGCCUGUAUUAUAACAAAGUGCAUUUGAAAUAAUUACCUCUCAACAAUUUGUAUUCGAAAUAAUAAGGUUUUAUGUUAUAUUAACUUUUAAUUUAUAGUUAAGUGACCAGUUUUAAGUCUUUGUAUGACUAAAUAUCAAAAAAGGAUAAGCUUUUUUACCAAUUAAAAAAGAUUAUAGAUUAUUGUGAAUCUCAUAGACCAAUUUUAUUGGUCUGUGGUGAAUGUUUUCUAAAUUUGAAAUGCUAAUUUUGUUCUUUAAAAUUACAAUGUUGUUUUGAUAGGACAUGUUUUUUCAUUCAUACCUAACAAAUUAUGCAUGAAAAUAUGAGUCAAGAAUUGUUAAAUAUCUUUAAUUAUUAUUGGUAAUUUUAUUCGCGACUCGUGGAACUGGUCCUUUGAAAAACUGAUAAAUAGAGUAUUUAUAUGUAAGGUUUUUUUGUUUGAACAAUCAUAACAUAUUUUAAUGUUGGCAAAGGAGAAUGGCGAAAUUGGGCCUAACAUAAAUAAGGCCUUACAGAAAUGAUAAUAAAUUUAAAAUUCAUUAUGUUAUUUUUAAUAAUUCUUGGUAAAAUAUUGACUUCUGAUUCUAUGGGAAAACAAAUGUUUGAAAAAAAAAGAUAAUAUGUUCACUAACGGCAUUGUUAUUUAGAUUUCUAUGACUACCGGUCUUAUCAAGCAGAGAUUGUCAGUGCUGUCAGGAGUAAAAUAGUCGAUAUAUCGAUUAAAACGAAUGAAUAUUUAUUUUCAUUUUUAGUUUUAUACAAAAUUCAAAUGCUUUAUGAAUCAGAAAUAUAAGUUGACUGCGUUACAUAUUUUAUUUUUAAUUUUUUAGCACGCUAUUUAUUUAGGUAAUCCGUAAUUCUAUACAUUUUUACUCAUGGCGGCCGCACUUUGUAAGAAUAUUUCUGAAAUGUAGCUGGCCGCUUCAAUUUUAAUUACAAUGUCAUGUUUGUCGUUUGACUUUUGACAUUUGAUUGAGGUUUUUCGUUACGUUACAUUCGACUUUGUGCUUGUGGUUAACUUAUUUUCUUCAUCUUUAUCGACUUUCGCUACGUAUUACGGACACUGACGAUCUCUGUUAUUACUACCAACCAACGCUUGCACACCGGACUUUGAUUACCUGCCUUUACGACUCACUACUGCUACCCUACCUGGACACCGACUUUGCAUCCGAUUUUUCAUUUACAAUUAAUAUGAACUGCAUCAACUGUGGUAUUAAUGCUAAUCGUAACAAUGCUAUACGUAUGCAUUUGUUACAAGAUAACGCAAUAUUAUCAAUUAUACAAGGGUGGGCUGCUCCUCUAACGAUCACUCACUCUGAUCACAUAUUAUUUGAUGCAUGCUGGAAACUUGCAAAUGAUUCUUUGAGGAUUGAAAAUCAUGAAGAUGACAAUGCAGUUGGUUUCCUUAGGUUCAUAUCAAAUUAAGCAAGCAAGGUCCUAUUAUGGUGAGCACAUAAGAAACGAUGGCAAAUAUGUUAUAGAAGUGUGCCGUGAAUCAGACAGCGACAUACAGAGAGCACUGUCGACAUCAAGUACUACAUGGCUUUUAAGAGGUCGCAUUCAAUCCAGGCAUAGAAGUAGUAAAACUUAUUUUACUUAUAUUUUAGUCGACAGUGCUCUCAUAGGAAGGGAAGCAAUAACAGUCUAUUAUUGUAAUUGUUUAGUAGGAAGAAGAACUGUAGGUUGCUGCUGUCACGUUAUGUCCAUAAUAUGGUACCUUAGCUGGGCAAGGUAUCAACCAGAUUUAAUGCCACCAGCACAGUUUCUGGAUGAUGUGUUAAUUGUUUAUGAUGAUAAUGAUGAAUAAACGAUUUAUGAAAAAACGUGUUUUAUUUUAUAUACUUAUAAGUACCUACGGUGUUUUGGUAGGUACUCUAAAAGAAUAAAAGUUCGAUCCAAUAUCUCUAUUACCUAACUGUUCUUCUGUUACACUAUAUCUAAAUAAUAUAUAUUAUAGGAUAUAAACUUACCUCUACUUAGAAAGAAACAAAGCUAUUCAUUGAACUCGAGCAAACAUAACCUCAAUUUUAGUGACGUUACAUGCUCAAUAUCUCUGCUAUCCCAUAGAACAGAUCUUUAAUUGUUAUAUUUAUAGAAUCUGUAUAUUUUUAUCUAUUUAACCCCACAUAAAUCAUCAGUGUAACGAUCAGGCCCAAAGUCCUAUGGGAGUUCGCCAUUCUCCUUUUGUACAAUAAAAUAUUUUUGAUACAGA